rnacentral:rRNA from 1 species
AUGAUCCGGAAUGGCCUGGCAGUGAGUCAUGAGCUUUAUCGACGCCGGAUCAAGCCAGGUGUUUUUUGUGCGGCCUGCGGAAGGGAGGAAACGGUUCUUCAUAGAUUUUGGGUUUGUCGACACUCCUCCCAGUUUUGGCAGAUAUUGUCUUCAGAGAAGGGUGUCGCGGUGGCAGCACCACCGCUUCCUGUAGACUCCCAAAAGGCACUCUCGAGCUGGCUGCUGAGUUUUUUUGUGGGUGCAACUGAAGAUGAGAAACAAGCUAUGGUUCAUGCGACGUGCGGGCUGUGGCUUGCCCGCAAUGAAGCUCGUGAUGGCAAGAGGAUUGCUCAUCCACAUGAGGUUGUCGAAGGAGUCCACUCACACCUGGUGGAGUGGCGUAAUAUUCAUGCUAUGGAGGCAAAAGCUCCGAAGUCUAGCCAUGUGCAGAAAUGGGAGGCGCCAGCGCCGGGCUGGGUGAAGGUGAAUUCGGACGGUGCCGUCUCUAAGCAAAGGAACUCAGGUGGUGGAGGAGCGGUGCUUCGAGACCAUGAUGGUGCGUUCAGGGCUGGGGUGUGUCACUUCUUCCCUCACAUGGCGGAUCAUGAAGUUUUUGAAAUUCUUGCUUGCCGACGGGGUGUACAGCUUGCUGUAGAGCUUGGAAUCCAGCGUGUUCAUCUUGAGCUCGAUAGCAAGACUGUUGUUCAGAUGUUGGUGCAGCCGGAAAGGUGUUUGAGUGCGGUGGGUCCGUGGAUUCAAGAGAUUAAAGCUUUGCUCAAUUCCCGCAUGGAGUUUCGCGUCGAUUGGGUUCGUCGUUCUGCCAACGUUGCUGCCCAUAAGUUUGCUAAAGUAGGUGUGGGUGAUGAGUUAUGUAAGGUGUGGUUGGGGUCUCCCCCUGACUUUGUUCUUUCUGUAGUCGCUGACGACAUUCCCAACUAUGCUGGUUAA